rnacentral:tRNA from 1 species
AAUGAAUUGCCUGAUAAAAAGGAUUACUUUGAUAGAGUAAAUUAUGUAAUUUAAUUACAUUCAUUA